UUAUAGAUUUUAGAAGCAGAAGAAAAUUUUCUAAAACAGCCAAACUUAGAUUCAGGUUCUAGCAGAGCCACAUGCUGAAUGACUGCAGGCAAGUUACCAAACUUCUCAGUCUCAAUUUCUUAAUAUGUAGCAGUGGGACAAAAUUUCUGGAACACAAAGUUUUGUAGGGGUGUUUUUCAAAAUGUGUUCAAUUGGCAAAUGUUUCUCAAAUAGAAUUUUCAUAGUUAAAUAACCCAUAGAGCGUCACUCUAAAUGUUCCUUUACUACAUGCUAUCUCAGUGUGCGUCACAAGUUUUUGCGCAUUGAGAAUUUUCAACAAAGUAGAAAAGUAUUCAGCACUUCUGAAGCCUAUUAGAUUGCAGAUUUUUUUCCCCACAGCAUCUUGACAGACCAGUGUUCCACAGAUCAUCCUCAAGGGAACACAGGUAUGAUCAUGUGAAUCUCAUCCCAUAAUAGUGUACAAGACAUCUUGCAUUGUGCUUGGCACAUAGUAGCCACUCAAUAAAUAAUUAUGUAUUCUUUAGAGUAAAUUUCUAAGCCUCAAUUUUCUUACUUGUAAAAUGAAGGUAAUAUUAUGGACUUUAUACAUUUACUAUGAUAAUUAAAUAAAAUCAUGGCAUAGAAAAUGAAA
rnacentral:lncRNA from 1 species